rnacentral:rRNA from 1 species
GCUCAAAUUUGAAAUCUGGCGCCUUUGGCGUCCGAGUUGUAAUUUGGAGAGGAUGUUUUUGGGUGUCCGCCGGCCUAAGUCCCUUGGAACAGGGCGUCAUAGAGGGUGAGAAUCCCGUAUGUGGUCGGAAAGGUACCCUCCGUAAAACUCCUUCGACGAGUCGGGUUGUUUGGGAAUGCAGCCCUAAAUGGGAGGUAAAUUUCUUCUAAAGCUAAAUACCGGCCAGAGACCGAUAGCGCACAAGUAGAGUGAUCGAAAGAUGAAAAGCACUUUGGAAAGAGAGUUAAACAGCACGUGAAAUUGUUGAAAGGGAAGCGCUUGCGAUCAGUCUCGACGGCAGCCGUUCGGCCUCUCUUCUGAGUGGUUUAUUCGGUUGCCGCCGGGCCAGCAUCAGUUUCGGCGGUCGGAUAAAGGAGGUGGGAAUGUGGCCCCUCUCGGGGGGUGUUAUAGCCCACUUUGUAAUACGACCAGCCGGGACUGAGGUCCGCGCUUCGGCUAGGAUGCUGGCAAAAUGGUCGUAAGCGGCCCGUCUUGAAACACGGACCAAGGAGUCUAACAUCUACGCGAGUGUUCGGGUGUCAAACCCGUGCGCGCAAUGAAAGUGAACGGAGGUGGGAACCCUCACGGGUGCACCAUCGACCGAUCCUGAUGUCUUCGGAUGGAUUUGAGUAAGAGCGU